UACGUAGGGUGCAAGCGUUGUCCGGAAUUAUUGGGCGUAAAGGGCUCGUAGGCGGUCUGUCGCGUCGGAUGUGAAAACCCAGGGCUCAACCCUGGGCCUGCAUUCGAUACGGGCAGACUAGAGUUCGGUAGGGGAGACUGGAAUUCCUGGUGUAGCGGUGGAAUGCGCAGAUAUCAGGAGGAACACCGAUGGCGAAGGCAGGUCUCUGGGCCACUACUGACGCUGAGAAGCGAAAGCAUGGGGAGCGAACAGG
rnacentral:rRNA from 1 species